rnacentral:lncRNA from 1 species
UGGAAUUAAAGUCGAAGUUUUAAUACAUUGAUGAUACAUACAGUAAUUUUAAUGAAUUUAUAUAGAAAAUCUUAUGAAAAAAACCUGUAUUCCCUUGACAACUUAGUACACAGGCAAAAUUUGCUCACAUGAAUUUCACAUGAAUCUCACAUGAAAUUCACAUGAAAAAUUUUACGUGAGAUUCACCUCAAUCGAGCUUAUACAUGAAACUCACGUGAAAAUUUUCAUGUGAAUUUCACAUGAAUUGAGAUUCACAUGAAUCUGAUGUGAAAUUUUUCACAUGAAUUUCACGUGAAAAUUACAACAACAAAAAA